GACGCUUUACAGAGCGAGCGCGAGAAUGGAAGGCGAACCACCAGUCAAAACAAGAAAAGAAAGUGAUAGAAACUCCUACAACGAAAAAACGUCUGGAUCAAAAGCGUGCUAAAAGCAGAAUUAACAUUGGCGUUGCUUUUCCACGCUGGAGGCAACUGCGGGAUUCUAAGGGUCUGAAAAAUGACGCAAUGGUUGCCGUUUUUCUUUUGGACAGAAAACCUCAGUUCAACCCAGGCAUCAGGACCAUAUUUCGCUGUGUUCCCACAUGUCUUCAGAAGAUUUGUACAAGCAAACAGACGUGACCAAGACGAGGUGGUGGCCACUGGUUUAAUGAUGGCUAACAGGAUCAUUGAGAGAAGCCUCCCACAGUGUCCAAAGCCUGGAGUUAUGGAAUUUUCUUCCUAAUGGAUGCCUCCUAAGAUGACUGACAUCUUUCUCAGAGUUAAUGUUAAAACUAUUAUGUAAUGACGGCUAAGGGUGAGUGAAUUGAGACUGAAGAAAACUAAAGUGCACAGUGAUAAUGAACAGUGACAUGUCAUUCUAUGAGAUAUUUGAUGUGAGCAUUUCUUAUAGUUAAAGGUGGGGUAUGCGAUUCCAUGACAAUACCAUGACAAAUACCAUGAUAUAGAGCGAACAAUAACACAGCAAGUAAUGUAACUAACGUUAGCUAGGUUGUGGGUUAGCUUAGCUAGGUUGCGGGUUAGCAAACUGUUUCUACAUUUGCUGCUGCGAAGCUAACAGCCAGAGAGGAUGAGACUGUUUCCCAGAGCCAGCAAACCAGCUCCAGACAGCGAUACUCACAACUCUCCUGCUACUAUAGCUAACAUCACAACAACAGCAUAUCUUGGCAAGCUAGAAAGUAAGCUGAAUGUCCAUGGGCAAGUAAUGUAACGUUCCCUGACACACAAAUCAUGGCUGGAAUAGUGUUGUGUGGCUCGGUCUGAGCCACUUUGUUUAUUUCCCAUUUACAGAGCCAGGGCUCUGUACAAACACCGGAGUAUUUUUUCAGCGCACACACUGAACGAACAGCUAGCAUACUGUGAGGAGAUAUUCGCUGAAUUUGACAAAAAGACGUGUAUUGGAUUAGAAUCGCAUACCCCGCACAAGUCCCAAUCCUUUACAUUUUUUCAGCACACUUUGCAUCUUACUGUUACUGUUGAAAAUGCACUAAACAACUGUGUGUAGGCACCUUUUAAGGACUGUAACAACUGUUUCAGUAUUAGGUUCUGUGA